AUACUUACUUAGCAGAGGAGAUACCAUGUUCAUGAAUGUUGUUUUCCCAGGGCAAGGCUCAUUCAUUGCAUCCCGUAUGUGCUCACCCCUGCGAUUUCCCCAGAUGUGGAGAACUCGACUGCUAAUUUUGGUAGUGGGGAACUGUAUUCGUGCUGUCCCCUG